rnacentral:piRNA from 1 species
UCUAUAAUCUCUUCUUGUGUGUCUGA